rnacentral:rRNA from 1 species
AACGCUAGCUACAGGCUUAACACAUGCAAGUCGCGGGGCAGCAUGAAUUUAGCUUGCUAAAUUUGAUGGCGACCGGCGCACGGGUGAGUAACGCGUAUCCAACCUGCCCAUCUCCACGGGAUAGCCCGUCGAAAGGCGGAUUAAUACCGUAUGAGGUCACGAGACGGCAUCAGACCGUGACGAAAGGUUUUGCGGAGAUGGAUGGGGAUGCGUCCGAUUAGCUGGUUGGCGGGGUAACGGCCCACCAAGGCGACGAUCGGUAGGGGUUCUGAGAGGAAGGUCCCCCACAUUGGAACUGAGACACGGUCCAAACUCCUACGGGAGGCAGCAGUGAGGAAUAUUGGUCAAUGGGCGAGAGCCUGAACCAGCCAAGUAGCGUGCAGGAUGACGGCCCUAUGGGUUGUAAACUGCUUUUAUGCGGGGAUAAAGUGGGGGACGCGUCCCUUUUUGCAGGUACCGCAUGAAUAAGGACCGGCUAAUUCCGUGCCAGCAGCCGCGGUAAUACGGAAGGUCCGGGCGUUAUCCGGAUUUAUUGGGUUUAAAGGGAGCGUAGGCUGGAGAUUAAGCGUGUUGUGAAAUGCCACGGCUCAACCGUGGCACUGCAGCGCGAACUGGUUUCCUUGAGUGCGCUGAAAGUGGGCGGAGUUGUGGUGUAGCGGUGAAAUGCUUAGAUAUCACGAAGAACUCCGAUUG